rnacentral:rRNA from 1 species
AGAGUUUGAUCCUGGCUCAGAACGAACGCUGGCGGCAGGCCUAACACAUGCAAGUCGAACGUGAAGCCAGAGCUUGCUCUCGGUGGGAGCGGCAGACGGGUGAGUAACGCGUGGGAAUGUGCCUUUUGGUUCGGAAUAGCCCCGGGAAACUGGGAGUAAUACCGAAUAAGCCCUUCGGGGGAAAGAUUUAUCGCCAAAAGAUCAGCCCGCGUUAGAUUAGCUAGUUGGUGAGGUAACGGCUCACCAAGGCGACGAUCUAUAGCUGGUCUGAGAGGACGACCAGCCACACUGGAACUGAGACACGGUCCAGACUCCUACGGGAGGCAGCAGUGGGGAAUCUUGGACAAUGGGCGGAAGCCUGAUCCAGCCAUGCCGCGUGAAUGAUGAAGGCCUUAGGGUUGUAAAAUUCUUUCAGCAGGGAAGAUAAUGACGGUACCUGCAAAAGAAGCCCCGGCUAACUCCGUGCCAGCAGCCGCGGUAAUACGGAGGGGGCUAGCGUUGUUCGGAAUUACUGGGCGUAAAGCGCUCGUAGGCGGAUAGGUAAGUCAGAUGUGAAAUCCCAGGGCUCAACCUUGGAACUGCAUUUGAAACUGCCAAUCUAGAGUUCAGGAGAGGUAAGCGGAAUUCCGAGUGUAGAGGUGAAAUUCGUAGAUAUUCGGAGGAACACCAGUGGCGAAGGCGGCUCACUGGCUCGAUACUGACGCUGAGGUGCGAAAGCGUGGGAGCAAACAGGAUUAGAUACCCUGGUAGUCCACGCCGUAAACUAUGAGUGCUAGUCGUCAGCGGGCAUGCCCGUUGGUGACGCAGCUAACGCAUUAAGCACUCCGCCUGGGGAGUACGGCCGCAAGGUUAAAACUCAAAGGAAUUGACGGGGGCCCGCACAAGCGGUGGAGCAUGUGGUUUAAUUCGAAGCAACGCGCAGAACCUUACCAUCCCUUGACAUCCUCGGAAUUCACCAGAGAUGGAGAAGUGCCUUUCGAGGAACAUGAGUCCAGGUGCUGCACGGCUGUCGUCAGCUCGUGUCGUGAGAUGUUGGGUUAAGUCCCGCAACGAGCGCAACCCCUAUCCUUAGUUGCUAGCAGUUCGGCUGAGCACUCUAGCGAGACUGCCUUCGCAAGGAGGAGGAAGGUGAGGACGACGUCAAGUCAUCAUGGCCCUUACGGCUAGGGCAACACACGUGCUACAAUGGGGCGUACAGAGAGUUGCGAUACCGCGAGGUGGAGCUAAUCUCAUAAAGCGUCUCUCAGUUCGGAUUGGACUCUGCAACUCGAGUACAUGAAGCUGGAAUCACUAGUAAUCGUAGAUCAGCUAUGCUACGGUGAAUACGUUCCCGGGUCUUGUACUCACCGCCCGUCACACCAUGGGAGUUGAUUUCACCCGAAGUCGGGAAGCAAACCUUCGGGAUGCUACCGCUUACGGUGGAAUUAGCGACUGGGGUGAAGUCGUAACAAGGUAACC